AUGAACGCUGGCGGCGUGCCUAAUACAUGCAAGUCGAGCGAACAGACGAGGAGCUUGCUCCUCUGACGUUAGCGGCGGACGGGUGAGUAACACGUGGAUAACCUACCUAUAAGACUGGGAUAACUUCGGGAAACCGGAGCUAAUACCGGAUAAUAUAUUGAACCGCAUGGUUCAAUAGUGAAAGACGGUUUUGCUGUCACUUAUAGAUGGAUCCGCGCCGCAUUAGCUAGUUGGUAAGGUAACGGCUUACCAAGGCAACGAUGCGUAGCCGACCUGAGAGGGUGAUCGGCCACACUGGAACUGAGACACGGUCCAGACUCCUACGGGAGGCAGCAGUAGGGAAUCUUCCGCAAUGGGCGAAAGCUUGACGGAGCAACGCCGCGUGAGUGAUGAAGGUCUUCGGAUCGUAAAACUCUGUUAUUAGGGAAGAACAAAUGUGUAAGUAACUAUGCACGUCUUGACGGUACCUAAUCAGAAAGCCACGGCUAACUACGUA
rnacentral:rRNA from 1 species